GCAUGGAGGCCUCUCUUGAGGUCAGGCAAGCGGGGGAAGGGGGAGGAGCAAGGUCUGAGUUCAGACCUCCAGGGCACUAUACUUCACGGAGCUGGAAGCCCAGUCAGGUCCCUGAUCAUGAUACCUGCUGGGAUCUCUGCAGGUCUUCUUUAUCUGGGUUACUGCAGGGAUUCUACCUUGAGCUUGCCAUAAACUGCUGUAGACAUUGGAAAGAAACAACAUCUGGAAAAAUUAUGUUACACUUAAUUAUCACAUCAAUUCUGUAAUACUAUGCUAAUAAUAUUUUAUCUUACAUUAAAUUUUAUAAAAUGAAUAUUAAUCUUAGAAAAUACAAUCAAAGCCUUUUCUGUUAAAAUUCUUUUCAGCUUUGAGAGUCUAUAAAUCUCAGGAAAAUGGAUAGAAUUGAAGCAAUUUCUGUAAGGAGUUCAACUAUUUAGGAAGUUUUGAUUCUUCCCAGAUUCUAACAGGAACUACAUAUCUGUUGUAGCAAGAAACUACUUGCUGGUGCUGGCGCUGUGGCACAGUGGUUUAAAGCCCCAGUCUGCAGUUCUGGCAUCCUACUUCCAAUCCAACUCUCUGCUAUGGCCUAGGAAAGCAGUAGAGGAUGGCCCAAGUCCUUGGGCCCCUCUACCCGCGUGGGAGACCUGAAAGAAGCUCCUGGCUCCUGACUUCAGAUCAGUUCAGCUGUGGCCGUUGUGAUUAUUUGGGAAGUGAACCAUUGGAAUGGAAGAAGACCUCUCUCUGGCUCUACCUUUCUCUGUAAUGCUGUCUCUCAAACAAAAUAAUUCUUAAAAGAAAAAAAAAAGACUUGCCUCUUUCUACAAGAACAUCUUAUUAUUUGCUUUAUAAUUAAUUGUUAUACAGGCUGGCACAGUGAUAUAGCAGGUAAAGCCUCUGCCUGCAGUGCCAGCAUCCCACAUGGGCGUUGGUUUGAGACCUAGAUGCUCCACUUCUGAUCUGCCUUCCUGCGGAUGUGCCUGGGAAAGCACUGGAAGAUUACCGAGUAUUUGGGCCCCUGUACCUACUUGGGAGACCUGGAUGAAGGUCCUGGCUCCUGAAUUCAGCAUGGUCCAGCCCUGGUAGUUGCGGCCAUUUGGGAGUGAACUAGUGGAUGGAAGAUUCUCUCUCUCUCUCUCUCCCCUUCUCUCCCUCUCUCCCUCUCUCUCUUACUCUGGCUCUUGCCUUUGUUCUCUCUAGAAUUCUAACUUUCAAAUAAAUAAAUUAAAUGUAUAAAAAAUGUUAUGGAG
rnacentral:lncRNA from 1 species